GUGCACGCUGGCGGUAGGCCUAACACAUGCAAGUCGAACGGCAGCACAGUAAGAGCUUGCUCUUACGGGUGGCGAGUGGCGGACGGGUGAGGAAUACAUCGGAAUCUACUUUUUCGUGGGGGAUAACGUAGGGAAACUUACGCUAAUACCGCAUACGACCUACGGGUGAAAGCAGGGGAUCUUCGGACCUUGCGCGAUUGAAUGAGCCGAUGUCGGAUUAGCUAGUUGGCGGGGUAAAGGCCCACCAAGGCGACGAUCCGUAGCUGGUCUGAGAGGAUGAUCAGCCACACUGGAACUGAGACACGGUCCAGACUCCUACGGGAGGCAGCAGUGGGGAAUAUUGGACAAUGGGCGCAAGCCUGAUCCAGCCAUACCGCGUGGGUGAAGAAGGCCUUCGGGUUGUAAAGCCCUUUUGUUGGGAAAGAAAAGCAGCAGGUUAAUACCCCGCUGUUCUGACGGUACCCAGAGAAUAAGCACCGGCUAACUUCGUG
rnacentral:rRNA from 1 species